CAGUCGCCGCGGGAAUACGUAGGUCCCGAGCGUUGUCCGGAUUUAUUGGGCGUAAAGCGAGCGCAGGCGGUUAGAUAAGUCUGAAGUUAAAGGCUGUGGCUUAACCAUAGUACGCUUUGGAAACUGUUUAACUUGAGUGCAGAAGGGGAGAGUGGAAUUCCAUGUGUAGCGGUGAAAUGCGUAGAUAUAUGGAGGAACACCGGUGGCGAAAGCGGCUCUCUGGUCUGUAACUGACGCUGAGGCUCGAAAGCGUGGGGAGCAAACAGGAUUAGAUACCCGCGUAGUCCCUGUCUCUUAUACC
rnacentral:rRNA from 1 species